UAUUUCUAGAAUCGCAUUCGAUAAUUGUAAUUAUACUUUAAUCACUGGCGAUUCAUGGCAAUCCAUAUCGUUUGCGAGAAAGUUGUUAAUAUUUCAACUCUAAAGCGGAUUUGGUAGAUAAGCGUAUAAUUGGGAAUGCGAAGAAAGUAGUAGGUAGGGACAUUGAGAGCUGCCAGGAAUGAUUAAUUCUUGUCGGAAAGCGCUAGACCCUUUGGAACUCGGUUGUAGCGUCCCCGCCACCCCCGCCUUUCCCAUUCCACACUGGCCCUCUUCGCUCUUCAUACAACCACCUCAUUCCUCUCGCGCACUCAACCCUCUGAACCUCUCUUACCACUGGCAGACUUUCUCGUUUCGUUUGUUCUCCGCCCGUGUCAUUCGUUAUUACAUCGUAGAAACUCGCGGAUAUUUGGAAUUCCAAGUGACGUCUAAAGGGAGCCGGUGCUUUAACCGAUAACUCGGUUUCUUAUCUUAAAGGAAACUAUGUCCGACGCUGCUUUUGUUAAUACUCUUACACACUGGACACUAGCUAUAUUGAAAAAUUAAUGUUGUGAAACAAUUAAUCAGGAUAUUUAUUGUCUUAAUAAUCCUCUUUUAUUGAAGAAAUUUCUAAUAAUCGUCGCAAUGUUAUCUACGCAUCUUUGUUAAUCGUCGAAAAUGCAUUAUAAAAAAAGUACAUAUUAUAAAAUAUAUAUAACGUAAGUAUACAAAAACUAUGUAAAUUAUCAGUUGCUGUGUGAAUAAGCAGGAAUUGCAUUAUACGUUUUCAUUGGACUGGACAAUUUUAAAAGUAAUAUCAGAAUCAGAUUCAUCUCAAAUUCGAGCUCAUCCGGUGGCCCCAUCUUGCAAGAGCCAAGAAGAAGCGCACGCGUCCGAUAUCGGUUGCAUUUGCAUAAGGCUAUCGUCUUCCCUUUGUUGCGGAUUCGCCUCCCACGUACGUGGCGAGGCUGUCACUCAGAGUUUCUGGACUCUCCUCAGUCUUCUCUCACAUCAGCUGCGGAUCAGUACUCCUCUCUAUCUCCCUCGGCAUUUCUUCCUCUUUUCUCCUUUUUUUCUCGAUUUCAAACCUCCCCACAGCACACAGCAAGCACCUACACCCUGUCUUCGCUACCUUGCCUGCAUUCCUGCAUACUAUUACACGUAGCUGUGCUUACAUACAUUUCGUCCGUAACGCUUGCUUACUUGUUUAGCAAGUAAGGCUGAAUACUUUGCACUUUCAAAGUAAUAUUGCGAAAUAUUUUAGAGGAUAUCAAAAGUUACCCAUGACAGACUAUGCAAAUUCAAUAGUCAUGACUCAACGUUUGUCCUCCUUGUCUCAUAUUUGCCGCCAUGCGAUCAUCAGAAAAUAUACUGGGUGUCAAGAUGGGAAUCUUGAUAUUGCAGCGCGAUAGCUGACCAAAACAUUUCGGGCGGUCACGAAUGGACAGCGAAGGCAAAACGUGCAAAACGUAAAGGCAGCGGACCCGAGGCCCGGGGUGUUCCACUAGCGCGAUACUCUGCACUCUUCGAAUAGCUCUCUUCUUGUCCACGAGGUGCGGAGGUCUUCGGAGGUUCCGCUGAAUCGCCUAACUGAGAAUGGGAUGAAACGUACUUGGUGGAUACGGGCCGGGAAUGGUGAUCGCAUUAAUAAAACAUUAAGGUUUUGUAGACGAUGUAUCGAUGUAGUGUUUAUAUUAUCUUCUUUGAUGUCGACAUGUGAAUUGGACAGAUUUGUUAUUCAGACUCCGUACAUAAAAGUGCUGAAGUCUUGCUCCGCUCCGUUUGUGGACAGGGCGGGUAUCGACGACUCGGACAUCGAUGGACGGACGAACGGACAGACGGAACGAACGUGAGCGCAGAUGGAUAAACGUGAAUAGUCUGUUUCAAGUUUGCGUUCUGGUCCCUGCCACGCUUGUCAGACAGCCAGUACGUAGAAAAGGGAUCUUAUUCGUACGCAGAUAGUUCGCUGCUUGCUUGGCUCUGUUAA
rnacentral:lncRNA from 1 species